GUAAGUUGAAUGGCUGGAGAUGCUCAAAAGAUGUAACAAAGAGAGAAGAUAAGAGGGAGAGAGAGAAGGAGAAGAGGGAGUACUCGAUUCGAUCUGCAGGAGAGAGAGAAGAUAAGAGGGAGAGAGAGAAGGAAGGAGAGGAGGGAGAACUCCGUUGCCGCCGCGUGCCGUACUUCUGGAUCGAGCGCUGCCUGACCAAGGGAUAAGAGUAGGAGGUAAAAACCCUAGCCACCAUGCUCCCGUGCGGGCUGCAUCCCCGCAUCUCCCUCUUCGUUGCUCUGCUUCUUCCCCUGAUUCCUCUUUUUCGUUUUUUCUCUUUGUGGCGCCGCCAAGGAUGAGUGGAGCAGCUGCUGAAGCAGGCGCGGCGCUGGUGCGCUGCUGGCGAAGCGGUGGUCAACGGUGCCGUCGACGUCGUCCUUGGCAGAAGGUAAGCCUAGAUCAAUCUCACAAUAUUCCUUUGUCGUCUGUGUUCUUAUGCAACUUAGUGAUUGGACUUUCUCUGUUAUGUUUCACAAAUUGCUACUUUUAGUUAUCCCCAUUGGCUUGUGCAUAUGCUUCUGCUGGGUCGUUCUUGUUUAUUUUCUCUAUCCAACAUUGUGGCAGGUUGGUGUUUCCUCUCUUUCUCACUGCAGCUACCUAUGCCUCUAUUAUUCUAGGAUUUUGCAAGUUAAAUACUCAUGUGUGCUGAACUGAAAAGUUCUCUAUGCAACAUCUAUUGCAGGUUGGUGUUUCCUACCUAUGCCUCUAUUAUUCUAGGAUUUUGAAAGUUAAUUGCUCAUGUGUGCUGAAUUGAAAAGCUCAAUGAAAGGCACUUAUUUCUACGCACAAAUGCUUUUGUUGCUAUAAGAAUCUGUAGAGAAGAAAUAUAUAUGUCUCCUCCGUUCAUUGCCCUUUUUUUGCGGGUAGUUCAUUGCCAUUUUGGAUUCAUAUGUGAAGUCUAUUGUUGUUAAUUACAGUUAACUAAUUUAUUAAUUCAUGGUUGUUUUAGUUGCUGACCAUAUGAUUGGUAGCCUUGGACAGAAGAGGGCCAGCAACAAACAUAAGCAAUCACUGUCCUGUCCAGAACAUGUAUAUCUUCAGUUUUGGUUGCCUUCCGUUUACUUGCCAACAAGCGACACUG
rnacentral:lncRNA from 1 species